rnacentral:rRNA from 1 species
AUUGCUUGCAAUCUGAUGACGAGUGGCGCACGGGUGCGUAACGCGUAUACAAUCUACCUUUAAGCGGGGGAUAGCCCAUGGAAACGUGGAUUAAUACCCCAUGGUAUAUAGGAGUCACCUGGCUUUUAUAUUAAACAUUUAUGGCUUAAAGAUGAGUAUGCGUCCUAUUAGUUAGUUGGUAAGGUAACGGCUUACCAAGACGGCGAUAGGUAGGGGUCCUGAGAGGGAGAUCCCCCACACUGGUACUGAGACACGGACCAGACUCCUACGGGAGGCAGCAGUGAGGAAUAUUGGACAAUGGAGGCAACUCUGAUCCAGCCAUGCCGCGUGCAGGAAGACUGCCCUAUGGGUUGUAAACUGCUUUUAUACGGGAAGAACCACAUCUACGAGUAGGUGCUUGACGGUACCGUAUGAAUAAGGAUCGGCUAACUCCGUGCCAGCAGCCGCGGUAAUACGGAGGAUCCAAGCGUUAUCCGGAAUCAUUGGGUUUAAAGGGUCCGUAGGCGGGACAAUAAGUCAGUGGUGAAAGUCUGCAGCUCAACUGUAGAAUUGCCAUUGAUACUGUUGUUCUUGAAUUAGUAUGAAGUGGUUGGAAUGAGUAGUGUAGCGGUGAAAUGCAUAGAUAUUACUCAGAACACCUAUUGCGAAGGCAGAUCACUAAUACUAUAUUGACGCUGAUGGACGAAAGCGUAGGUAGCGAACAGGAUUAGAUACCCUGGUAGUCUACGCCGUAAACGAUGGUUACUAGCUGUUCGGCCCAAUUGAGGGCUGAGUGGUUAAGCGAAAGUGAUAAGUAACCCACCUGGGGAGUACGUUCGCAAGAAUGAAACUCAAAGGAAUUGACGGGGGCCCGCACAAGCGGUGGAGCAUGUGGUUUAAUUCGAUGAUACGCGAGGAACCUUACCAGGGCUUAAAUGCAGUCUGACAGGAGUGGAAACACUCCCUUCUUCGGACAGAUUGCAAGGUGCUGCAUGGUUGUCGUCAGCUCGUGCCGUGAGGUGUCAGGUUAAG